UUAUUCAUCUUAUUACUUUAAAUCAUGUACAGAUGAGUAGUCGGCUGAGGUGCUUACUUUAUCAAAAAGAAAAUAAACUUUAACACAGUAAUUUUUGUUACUGAUCGAGAGAAGAAAGAAACAAAAAGAGAGAAAGAAUCUGUAUCUAUUUUUCAGUGCUUUGCUUUUUUACAAAAAAAAGAGAAUAAAUUUAUAAAUAAGGAUUUUAAAUAAAUUAUAGAACAGAUGACUGUUUACAUGAAAAAACUAAGUAACUAUUUUUAUUGUACGAUAAAUAAAAUUAUAAUUGUUUUAUUAAAAUUAAUUUAUUUUUUGCUUACAAUUUUUAGUGUGAGCUAUAAUUUCUAGUAAGAUGCAGUCGGUUUUAAGUGCUUUUGUGCCUAAACCCACAUGUCUACAUGUCAACUAUGGCGAUUUCUCAAGAUCCAUAAAACAUUUCUAAUAAUAUACCGUUCGACAUAAUGCAAAAUAACUAGACUUUGAAAGAUAAGAAUGUUAUAAAGUAAGAUAAGGCCAUUCGUACCACCUUUAAUUAUAUAUAUGAAAACAUAAGUUAUUUUCUGUACAUUGCAAUUUAAUUUAUAGAUUUUUUCUUACCGUGACAUGAGUUGUUAUUGAUAAUGGAACCAUGUUACCUGCUGUUAAACAAGAAGGAAUAAUACUUUUAUAAAGAGUUAAGAUUAAUAGCGUCUUUAAUCUUGGUGAGAAUUUGUACCAUUUCACAGCGUACCUGAAAAAAUAAAUGUGAGAAUUUAUUAUUUACCCAA